rnacentral:rRNA from 1 species
CAGCCGCCGCGGUAAUACGUAGGUGGCAAGCGUUGUCCGGAAUUAUUGGGCGUAAAGGGCUCGCAGGCGGUUUCUUAAGUCUGAUGUGAAAGCCCCCGGCUCAACCGGGGAGGGUCAUUGGGAACUGGGAAACUUGAGUGCAGAAGAGGAGAGUGGAAUUCCACGUGUAGCGGUGAAAUGCGUAGAGAUGUGGAGGAACACCAGUGGCGAAGGCGACUCUCUGGUCUGUAACUGACGCUGAGGAGCGAAAGCGUGGGGAGCGAACAGGAUUAGAUACCCCCGUAGUCCCUGUCUCUUAUAC